rnacentral:piRNA from 1 species
UGGGCAGUAAAUAAUACUCACAGUUGCCAA